rnacentral:tRNA from 1 species
GCCCUCCUGUGGCUCAGUGGGUCAAUGCAUCUGGCUGUUAACCAGAAGGUUGGUGGUUUGAGCCUACCCAGGGACA